rnacentral:rRNA from 14 species
UAAGGUAGCGAAAUUCCUUGUCGGGUAAGUUCCGACCUGCACGAAUGGCGUAAUGAUGGCCACGCUGUCUCCACCCAAGACUCAGUGAAAUUGAAAUCGCUGUUAAGAUGCAGUGUACCCGCGGCUAGACGGAAAGACCCCGUGAACCUUUACUACAGCUUGGCACUGAACAUUGACCCUACAUGUGUAGGAUAGGUGGGAGACUAUGAAACAUUGUCGCUAGAUGAUGUGGAGUCAACCUUGAAAUACCACCCUUGUAUGUUUGAUGUUCUAACAUUGGUCCCUUAUCGGGAUUAUGGACAGUGUCUGGUGGGUAGU